rfam:Lactobacillus collinoides DSM 20515 = JCM 1123 strain DSM 20515 NODE_14, whole genome shotgun sequence.
UCCACACUGCAACCGCACGGGCCAAGUUCCUAAGCGUGAGUUAUCACCACUUGUUCUCGGCGAGUCUAAGUUAUUAC